GAUGAACGCUGGCGGCGUGCCUAAUACAUGCAAGUCGAGCGAACAGACGAGGAGCUUGCUCCUCUGAUGUUAGCGGCGGACGGGUGAGUAACACGUGGAUAACCUACCUAUAAGACUGGGAUAACUUCGGGAAACCGGAGCUAAUACCGGAUAACAUGUUGAACCGCAUGGUUCAACAGUGAAAGACGGUCUUGCUGUCACUUAUAGAUGGAUCCGCGCCGCAUUAGCUAGUUGGUAAGGUAACGGCUUACCGAGGCAACGAUGCGUAGCCGACCUGAGAGGGUGAUCGGCCACACUGGAACUUAGACACGGUCCAGACUCCUACGGGAGGCAGCAGUAGGGAAUCUUCCGCAAUGGGCGAAAGCCUGACGGAGCAACGCCGCGUGAGUGAAGAAGGUCUUCGGAUCGUAAAACUCUGUUAUUAGGGAAGAACAAAUGUGUAAGUAACUAUGCACGUCUUGACGGUACCUAAUCAGAAAGCCACGGCUAACUACGUG
rnacentral:rRNA from 1 species